rnacentral:rRNA from 1 species
UACGUAGGGGGCUAGCGUUGCUCGGAAUUACUGGGCGUAAAGGGCGCGUAGGCGGAUAUUUAAGUCAGGGGUGAAAUCCUGGAGCUCAACUCCAGAACUGCCUUUGAUACUGGAAGUCUUGAGUAUGGGAGAGGUGAGUGGAACUGCGAGUGUAGAGGUGAAAUUCGUAGAUAUUCGCAAGAACACCAGUGGCGAAGGCGGCUCAUUGGCCCAUUACUGACGCUGAGGCACGAAAGCGUGGGGAGCAAACAGG